rnacentral:lncRNA from 1 species
CUGGAAGAGAUGACCAGUGGCUAGAGUGUCCAGCUUCGUCUUGUCAAUGACUUUCACUGCCACCUUCUCACCUGUGAAGACAUGCCUGGCAAGUUUGACCACUGCAAAAUGACCUCGACCCAAGGUUUUAUCCAGAUCAUAUAAUCCAGCAAUUUUCCCAUCAUAUCCUCGCUUGAACCCUGCCAUGCUGGUUCAACAAACAGAAAGAUACUUAAAAGUGCUUGAGGACAUAUAAAAAUUAAAUCAAAUCCAGGCGGCACAGCACAGCACAGGAAGAAGACAGAGACCACAGGAAGACCACAAUGCCCUUUAGCCCAUGGCACAAGUGGACCACAGACACUCCCUGUCUCCAAGCCACUCAGCACAAUGGAGGACGAGGAUCCUGCUCGGCCUGCCUAUACCCCUGGACAAGUUCACCAAGCUCCCACUACAGCAGCAGAGGAGAGGAACCCGCAUAAGACACUCCUAAGCAAGGCAGAAAUGCAUUGUGAUGCCAGCAACAGGCAGCACACGAAACACCUUCAUGUCUGCCACCAAAGAGUAAACAAAACUGUCACUAUGAGCAAAGCAGCUGCACUGUUUCCCAUCCCGAGCACAGUAAGGAGUCCUUUCCAAAGUGGGCU